UUAAAUGUAUCUUUCUCCACCGGUUCCUUUUCAUUAUUCUGGAAAAUGAGCUUUAGCUGCUUUGGUUGCUGUACUUGAUAAAGCUAUGUAUGCUUCUUGCACUUCCGCUUCUGGAAAAAAAGUAUUGGAGGCCUCAGACUGGCUAAUGAAAUGAAGAGAGAAACAUGGUCGUUAGUUGGAGUGGUGUGGGGCUCUUGAGCCAACUCUUCUACUGUAAUGAAGCAUUUGAUGCUCUUAGGAGACUUGCUUAUUUCAGUGGGUAAUGGCUCUGUUUAUUGAGUUUGCGCAAAUGCAUUUGAUUUAGUCAAUUUAGGCUCUGCAUUUAAGAAAAUUACGAGGGAGGUGGGACUCGAUCAGCAAGAGGUAAAUUAGUUUGAAUGCAUAUAAAAGGAUCUUGCAGAGGGUAAAUUUACAGUCAAACUGUCACAUGGAAAUCAUAAUAUGCAGUACUUGUCAGGUUUGAUAAAUGAAUCAAGAUUGUAAAAUUGCCCUUACCUUGAGGUGUGCUUGCAUUUGACCAGCAACAAAACUGAAGUGCUGCUGUGUCAUCUUAAACUGCCUCACAAGAGAGAAACCUACAUAAAGCUGGAGUCACUACAUUUGAAAAGGAGUGCAGGAAGGAGACUGAUAACUCACAGGGAGGGAUAGACAUCCCCUGAAUACACAAAACAUGAGGAUCCCUGCAGAGAACAGUGCCGGGAUGCCAGUCACCCUACAGCAGUUCCCUGAACUAGAUACUAGCUGAGAGACUAGAUAACAUCCCUGCUUAAUCCUGACUUUUCAUCCAGUGUGGAAGCUCAUCCCCAAAUGGUUAAAAGAUCUUGGGAAGCCACUCUGGAAGAAACUGUCCAAUUCACUGACUCUGAUGUAUCUGAUAUAAAUAAAAAUUGAAAUUAAAUGUUGAAUUUGUCAGCUUGUCAAAACAGUCUCAUAGUACUGUAAAUUAUGGAUCUGUAAAUAAGCUUCUAACCAUGAAAUGUGCGUCCUUUCAUGCUAUUUGGAAAUCUCAUCCAUACUGAACUACAUAGUGUAUGAAGUGAUGGUUUGUAUACAGAUGUAACAAAAUGCAGAGGAAUUUUCUCCGAAGAGUAUACUCCUGUGGAUAUAUUAUCCAGUUUAAUAUUUAGAUAUCCAAGCUUAUAUCUUUUCUGGGCAGUAACAUGCUGCAUCAACUUGUAAAACUGCUACAUGUGUGACAGAAGUUCCUUCUUAAAUGUCAUUGUAUAUGACUGCUUGCUGCUGUCUAGCAUUUUCAGAUUUCUGGCAAUUACCAUUGAGCUCAGUUCAGCACUGACUGGGGUUCUGGUUAUUAAGUUUCCUGACAAAAUUUAUGAAAUAGCAAUAGAGGAAUUGUCAUAUCAAACACCUCUGGUCUACCUGUUUCUUUAUCCUGUCACUGACUUAGCUGUUAGCAUGUACUUCAAAGAACAGCACAAGAAAUAUUGUAAUGAUGUGGAUUUCCUACAGGAAAAUUUCCUUUCUAACCCUGACCAGGUAUUGGUAGGCUUACAUCCUUAAGUAUGAGGGUUUAGGGAUAAGCAUGCAAGCCAAAGGGAAUUCUACUGCUACAUCAUUCUUUAAAAUAAUGUUGUGGUAAUCCAAGCAAGUGCAAUCAACCAGUUUUCCAUUAUCCACAGGUUUUACUGAUCUGCAACAAAGUGUUCUCUUUACAAUAUCAUGCUGAAUUGUUGCUACUUUUGUGAAAAAAAAAAAGAAUACUUAAUUAUUCUUGAUGGCUAGUUUUUAAUUUUUGCCUUGUAAGAGAAACUUUCAAGCUUUCCCUGAGUGAAGUGAUCUGU